UUGGGCAUAAUGAAGUUAUGUAACUUUAGCAUGAUGCCCAAUAACCAACGACUUCCCAAAUCCAGUAAUGUUGUCACAACCUAAUUCCUUUGGAUAAGAUGACCAAUGGCUUUUACAACGCCAGAACAGAUGGUGGCAGUAGUGUGCGGAUUGUGUGUGGCAGCCGGAAACAACGAGCUUGCCGAGUUCUUUGACUGAAUACAUAUCCGCGGACACUCUGAAGGCGGCAUUCAAGAUGUUUGUAGGGUCCUCACCUCAGCUACCUCUCACAAGGUGCCCCUGAAAAAGAAAUUCAAGACGUUUGGGUCCUCAGCUCAACUGACCAAGACCUUUGCUCAUUGAAGGCAUGAAGUAAUUUGUGAUGCCCCCACGAUUGCAGUUUUUAAACGCAGAUGGCUUGCUCUUUUUAACAUGUGCGAGAGCUGGAUGGUCUUUCAACAACACUGCUCCGGGUCUUCAGCAAGAAAGGUGCUUCUCAUGCAAGGAAGAUACAGAGGAUCCUGGUGCCCAUGACUCAGGUAAAACAUGCACACUGCCAUGCAUCACAGUAAUGCUAAAAUUUCAAGAUCUAAUGUAAUGGGGAGAAGUAGGGUGUCUUGGAUCAUAUUGCAUUUCUCCCACUAAUUUCAAUCCUUCAGCCAGUUUUGAACUCAUUGUCUUCACCUCAGUUCUAACUACAGCUGGCUUUACACACAGCAGUCCUGGGCAAUGAUAUAACAGUCUUUUGCAGACUGACAACAUUGAUGUGAAGAGGGAGUGCAUGCUGAGGAGCUGACGGUCUACCUGAAUGAAGAGCCAGACAAAGUGGAUGUUGAUCUGGACGGUCCAGCUGAAACGUAUUGUCUUCGUGUGCGUGUGAUCGGCAGAGAGUCCUCAACGACAUUGGUAACGUACCUGUGGCCAUUGCAGUGUUUGUUUUGGUUUAUGCUCUUAAUCUCUGUUACCUUCCAGAAUGGAAGUACACUUUCAAAUUUCUGUUUCAUUCUAACCGUCUGUUUCAUCAGUUUUUGCACUGCUUUUAAAUGUACACUGUGUAAGAUUCUUAGUUGUUUAUUUCCAGAAUUCAUGCUACCCAUUCACUAAUGUUACCUUUUUCAUGAAUACUUAGCACCACCAUUAGGGUGCAUCAGUUGCCCCCUAUGAAAAGAUAUGGCCUUG